UUCAAAUAGAUCUCGAAGCCACGAAUGUCUAGGCAAAAGCCGUUUACAAAUCCGAGUUUUAACUGUAUAAUUACAGACAUUUGAAAUCGUUUGCUAGACUAUAGUUUUUAAUUAAAUAAUUUCCCACUUUGUGAGAGAGAGGCCCAAUCAUGUAAGGGUUAGGGCGGACCAAUCAGAUAAAAAAAGAAAAAAAAAAGAAAAGAAAAGGGAACGGAUGGCAGGGGGGAGGAGGCAGGAAAAAGGGGGUUGCGAAGGAGAGUAGGGGGGAGAAUGUUCUUUCACGUUCUUCCUGGCAUUGCAAGGAAAGGAAAAGAAAUAGGGAGGAGGUGGCUCUUCCAUAGCCGUUGGAAGAGAAUCCUUCGUUCUUCAGGCAAAACUCGGAGAGAAAGGAGUUAGAGAACGUGAUGGCGAAGGAAGGAUUCAGAGAUUUGAAGGGUAAAUUCCUUGUUACUUCAUUAUCUUGAUUUUUUGAAUUUAACUUUCUUAAGUUGAAUUGUAAUUGCCAUGAUAUAUUGGAGUUCUUGGUUCUAUUUAGGGUUUCUAUCAUUCAAUGAACUAGUCUAAACAUGAAUUAGAGUUGGGUAAUUCGGAUUGGGUGUGUAGAUCAAAUUUCUUGAUCAAGGGUUUGGUUCAAAAGGUCAAUUUCUUGUUAAUUUUGAGUCAUGUUAGUUUUGGAUGUUGUAUACAUGACUUCUGGACUACCUGGAAGUAUUUUGGAAUUUGUUAUAUGAAUUGGAAGUGGGCUGUUACAUAAGUUGCAGAAAAUUGAUUUCUUUGCAAAGAAAACUCAAGUUUCGAGUAGCCUUCUUUGGCUCUUAAUUUCUAGGCCUUUAUGUGCUCCUUUGGAGAAAAAUUUUAGUGUGUUGAAAGUACAUAUGCUCAUGAUCGUAACCCAAUUGAUUUCACUCAAUUUCGUUGAGUUUUGGUUGAUCAAAACCUUCUUUAAAGUUGGGUCGCGCGCUGCCAAACAGCAGCAGAAAAUUGGGUUUCCAGUUUCAAGACUUCGUUUUUCCUUUUGACAUAACUUCCAAUUUAGAGCUCCGUUUUCUACAAACUUUGUAUGCUUUUAAAGUACAGAACACAAGCUUCAAAACCCAUAUAAUAUUACAUGAUUUGGUUUAGUUUGGAAUGUUCCAAAGGGAGCCUAAACUUGGUCUAAUAGUGCUGUUUUCUGCAGAUCUUGUGGAGAAGCAGAGUACUUUUUUUGCCACACCUAUUUUCUUUUCCAGAUUCCUUUCUAAUCUUCUUUACUACUAAUUGAGUGAUAUUAUUUGAGUGGUAGAUUCCAUAAUUAGUGUACUUUCUUCAGAUAAUAUUAAUUAUGUUCCUUUAAAGAGCCUAAUCGGAACACAAAAGUACAAUCAAGAGUAUAAAUACAAGUAGCACACAUUACUAACCAAACUAAGCUAUUAAAAUGUGAUUCUUUUAUAAUUAGUCAUCGAUCUAUUUUUAUUAAAUGUGGUUUGAUUCAUGGAUGGGUAAUAUUUGUGGAAAAGUGAUUCGAAUUGCAUAUUGAAAUGUGAAUUAUAUAUACAUACGCCAUAGACCGAUGUUAAUUAAAUGUGAAUUCUAUUGAAGUGUUAUUUUAUUUUUGGCCAUUGAUCUAUUUUCAGUAAGUGUGAUUUGACUUGUGCAUUGGAAAUAUGGUUUGUAUUGUAUGAUUGGAUUGAUGUGAUGAAAUGCAAGAGCUAGUAGUGGAUCAUUAAUCCAUUGUUACGGGGUUUGUUGCUUCGAAACAUGUUUCAACCCUCGUUUCAUUAUUCAUUCUCGUUUCGUUGAGUCUUUGUACCUUGAGUAACUUGAUCCAUGUCUUGUUUUAUCGAUUGGUGUUACACAUUCUACUCUGCGAUUCCGUUGAGUGAUGGUCCGGAAUCGUAUCCUUGUUUGGAUUCCGUUGAGUGAUGGUCCGGAAUCCCUUCUACUCCGCGAUUCCGUUGAAUGAUGGUCCAGAAUCAUAUCCUGAUUUGGAUUCUGUUGAGUGAUGGUCUGGAAUCGUAUCCUGGUUUGGAUUCCGUUGAGUGAUGGUCCAGAAUCCUUUCUACUCUGCGAUUCCGUUGAGUGGUGGUCUGGAAUCCUUGCUCUUGCUCAUUCUCAUAAGAUUAUCUUAGAAUCCUAGAUUCGAGUGAAUGGGAAUUACCCACAAUGGAUCUUGUGAAUACAAAUUAUAAUCACCAUGUUAUUAUUCAUAACCCAAGUAGGGAAUUAUGUAGAGUUCUUUAAUUAAAUUUGUGAAAUGAUCUAUUAUCUCACUGAUUGAUUAACGUAAUUAAAUAUUAAUAUUGUGCUUCGUGAUUCCUUGAUAUGUUACAAGCUAUGGAUUGAGAUAUACUGUUGGAAGCAUAGUGAUUGGUAUGAUGAAGUGAAAUGUGAUUUGACUUGGGUAUUGGAAAUGGUUGUGACAUGUGAUUGUAAUGCAUAUUGAAUUGCUUGGGAGAUGUGAGGUGUAAUAAUGGACCGAUAACCCAUUGUGAUGUGGAUUUGUUGCAAGAUACAAUUUCGUUUCGUUGAGUUUUCAUGAAUUGAGUAACUUGAAUCAUGUCUUGUUCCUUUGAGCCGUUGUUAUGCUUCAUGGACUUCCGUUCAGUUCUGUUGAGUGGUCCGGAACUAAGUUCUACUUGGAUUCCGUUGAGUGAUGGUCCGGAAUCCUUUCUACUCCGUGAUUCAGUUGAGUGAUGGUCCGGAAUCAUAUCCUGAUUUGGAUUCCAUUGAGUGAUGGUCCAGAAUCCCCUUUGGUGCCUUGGUUUCGUUAGGUGGUCCAAAAUUCCCUUUUCCAAAGAUGUAGUCUUCGGCCAAACUAUGUCGCUCUAGCCCACGCAUUUCGACGUGUUGUAUGUUUUAUUGAUGAUGUGAUUAUGGAAUGAUGUUGGUUAUGGUAAUUAUGAUUAGACUCGUUGAACUUUAUGACUAGUGAAUAUGAUUGUGCUCCGUUGUUUGUCCCUUGUAAUAUUGUAUGUUAUGCAUUGUGAUAUAUUGUUGAGAUAUAGCGAUUUAAUUGAUGAAUAUUCGAGUAUAGUGAAAUGGUGAACUACGAAUGGCUUGAUCCCUAUUGAGGGUACGUAGGCAGUCUAAUGAGGAGGUUAGAUGCAGCCAUAAAGUAUACAAAAAUUUCUACGCGAUUUGGAUCUUGAAUUAUGCUAUGUACAUAUUCCGAAGGCGGGGUAUGUUCGAGAUAUAGAUAUUUGGUGACAUCACGUGUCGAUUUUGGUAGUAUGUUAGGAUCGGGACGUGACAUUCCUCCCUCUAAAAAGACCUUCAAGGUUAAUAACUCAUCAAUUUGUAAGUGUUAUUUUUGCAAAAAGACAGGUGACAUGAAGAGAAACUAUCCUAAAUACAAGUCAUGGCUUGCCAAACAAGAGGCAAAGAAAGUUCUUCUAUUCACGUUACUAAUUCAUUGCAAGACUUCAUAACAAAGAGAACACUAAAUAAGGAUGAAGUCAAGGUUUCAGUUGGCAAUGGAAGAAGAGUUGAAGUCAAGACACUAGGGACUGUUAGAUUAAAAUUAGAUUUUGGUUUUUGCUUGGAGCUAGAAAAUGUUGUCUAUAUGUACCUUCCAUGAGAAGGAAUUGGUUUCUAUUUCUAAGUUAGUACUAUUGGGAUUUUAUUUUGCUUUAAAUAAUAUUGGCUUAGAAGGAA